UAAGUGUGCAUUGCUCAAGUGUACCAUUAGAAGACAUGACUUCAGUGUAUCCUUCUUCACAACUGCAUGUCCUCAUCUGCAGGAGAACAAGAGGAUUUCUACACAUAUAAGGAAGACUUUCAAAAACCAAAGAAAUUUGGCGGUUUACCUGUUACAUUUAUACCAUCUGACCUUUGACACCAGACUGUUCGGGAAGAACCUUUCCAAGCACUGGCCAUCCAUUUGUAUUCAUAACACUGUCCAUCUGCAGGGACACAAUAAACAUGAACAGAAGCAUUCUGCUGUCUAGAAGGACAAUCGUGGGGAAAGUAUAUUAGGAAAAUAUUUAUAAACAACUGAAAAGUGGUGAAUCCAUCUCAAAAAUGAUUCGAAUGUUACUGUCCUAAAAUUACCAUAGAAAUGUUAUAAAAUUCCCGAUACAUUCCUAAAUCCCAACUAAUGUUUUAUGUCCACUGUCAUAUCUGAUGUGAACUUGGAUUUUUAAUAUAAUGUAACGUUCAAAGUAUUAUAAAAUAUCAAAUUUACAUACAGGGGCAAAUAAUAACAAAAAAUGUUCAAUUACUUAAGCAGUUUUAACAAAUACUACCAUUUAGACAUGUUUGCUUUAGUUUUCUUUUGUCUGUUGGGGAGUGAAAAAUAAGAUGAAUGUGAUGUCCUAUUAUUAGGUCCUCUUCCUGUUGUAAUAUUCCUCCAUAUCUAUCCAGCAAAAGCCACUAUUUUAAAGUAGAUACAUAGAUUCCUUUGCCAUGUUUUUUAUUCUUUUAAUAUAAUACAUUAUAUGAGGUAUGUAUAUAUCCAUAAAAUACAGCACAUCUGGUCCUCAAACAACAUGGAGGUUAGGGGCAUGUACCCCUAUGCAGUCUAAAGUCUGUGUAGAACUUUGACUCCCCAAAAUUUAAACAGCCUACGGCUGACCGGAAGCCUUACUGAUAGUCAGUUAACACAUACUUUGUAUUAUCUGUGUUAUGUACUAUGUGCUUAAAAUAAAGAAAACCAUAAGGAAGAGAAAGUAUAGUUACUGUAUUUCUAUUAAAAAAAUCCACAAGUAGACCUGCAGGAUUCAAACCAUGUCGUUCAAAGGUCAACUGGAUUAUUAAAAAUUCUAAAAGUAUACUGUAUGUAUCAAUCUGAGACAUUCAGUAUUGUAGAAGAAGUAUUUCCAUGUGAUUUUUUUUAUAAUGUAGCUCUGGUCUUAUUUAACUGCUAUAUAAAAUUCCACUGUACUAAAUGCCA